rnacentral:lncRNA from 1 species
UAGACUCACAGCCUGCAGGAACUUCCUCCUGUUUCCUGAUCUACAUCUAGACCUUUGGAGAGACUGUAGUUAACAAGGACUCACACAGGCUCCAGUAUGAACCCCAACUAUCCACAGCAGCCAGGGCCCUAUGGACAGCCUGCACCAUAUGCGCCACCUGGACAACCGUAUCCUAAUCCAAAUGCUCCUUAUGGAAAUUUGCCAUACCAACCACCACCUUUACAGCCAGGCCAGCCAGGGGGUGUAAUGCCACUACCCCUACAGCCAGGCCAGCCAGGGUGUGUAAUGCCACCACCCCUACAGCCAGGCCAGCCAGGGUGUGUAAUGCCACCCCCACUGCCAGGCCAACCAGGAUGCGGGGUCGGAGGUCCAGUCUAUCCACCAGGACCCAUGGGUCCUGGGCCUUACCCAGGGGGCCAGGGAUGUGGUCAGGGGCAGUGUGGUGGACCUGGUCAAGGGCACUGCCACGGGCACAAGCAUGGACACGGUCAUGAACAUGGACACUGUCAUAAAAAACAUGGGAAAAAACAUAUGAAGAAACAUAAGAAGAAACAUGGAAAGGGAAAGCAUUCUGGAAGCAGCAGCAGCAGUAGCAGCAGCAGCAGUGACUCUGAUUAGAGAGUGCAGAAGAAAUUUCACAAAUGCUUAAACUGACCAACUGAUUCUAACUAUUAAUACCACUGAAAGCCAAGUCUUUAAACUGUAUUAAUGCAAAUAUAUAUAUUACACUGUAAAUUGAGUUUGUAAUUA